GGGGCUGAUUCUGGAUUCGACGGGAUUCGCGAAACCCAAGGUGCAUGCCGAGGUGCGGUGGCCUCGUAAAAACCGCAAAAAAAAUAGUUGCAAACGACGAAAACUACGCACUAGCAGCUUAAUAACCUGCUUAGAGCCCUCUCUCCCUAGCCUCCGCUCUUAGGACGGGGAUCAAGAGAGGUCAAACCUAAAAGAGCUCGUGUGGAAACCUUGCCUGGGGUGGAAGCAUUAAAACUAAUCAGGAUAGUUUGUCAGUAGCGUGUCCAUCCGCAGCUGGCCGGCGAAUGUAAUGAUUGGACUAAGCAUGUAGUGCCGACGGUGUAGUAAUUUCGGACGGGGGUUCAAAUCCCCCCAGCUCCACCA
rnacentral:tmRNA from 1 species